ACGAACGCUGGCGGCGUGCUUAACACAUGCAAGUCGAACGAUGAAGCCUAGCUUGCUAGGUGGAAGAGUGGCGAACGGGUGAGUAACACGUGAGCAACCUGCCCUUCACUCUGGGAUACGCACUGGAAACGGUGUCUAAUACUGGAUAUGACCCAUCACCGCAUGGUGUGUGGGUGGAAAGAUUUAUCGGUGAAGGAUGGGCUCGCGGCCUAUCAGCUUGUUGGUGAGGUAGUGGCUCACCAAGGCGACGACGGGUAGCCGGCCUGAGAGGGUGACCGGCCACACUGGGACUGAGACACGGCCCAGACUCCUACGGGAGGCAGCAGUGGGGAAUAUUGCACAAUGGGCGCAAGCCUGAUGCAGCAACGCCGCGUGAGGGAUGACGGCCUUCGGGUUGUAAACCUCUUUUAGUAGGGAAGAAGCGAAAGUGACGGUACCUGCAGAAAAAGCACCGGCUAACUACGU
rnacentral:rRNA from 1 species